CCAAAACACUGACACUAUUCCCAGCUAACACAUAACGUUUUGGUAACAUUAUAUAUUGAUUAUAUUUAGAUUAUGGUUAUUAGAAACAUUUCUAGA